rnacentral:rRNA from 1 species
ACGGGUGAGUAACGCGUAUGCAACUUGCCUAUCAGAGGGGGAUAACCCGGCGAAAGUCGGACUAAUACCGCAUGAAGCAGGGAUCCCGCAUGGGAAUAUUUGCUAAAGAUUCAUCGCUGAUAGAUAGGCAUGCGUUCCAUUAGGCAGUUGGCGGGGUAACGGCCCACCAAACCGACGAUGGAUAGGGGUUCUGAGAGGAAGGUCCCCCACAUUGGUACUGAGACACGGUCCAA